rnacentral:lncRNA from 1 species
CCUGCAACACUUGCACUAGGUUAAAUGUCAAUCGUAUUGAUCGUUUAACCCUAGAAUGAUUCUUAAUCAUUGAUCAACCAUCCGAUCGGAUUGUGAACUCUAAUGUGUGUGACCUCAUAGAUUCGAACCUAAGUCAGUAGCACAAGAAUAAAUUUCUAUACCAAUCAAAGUGACCAUCUAGCAAUGGUACCCGACGGUCGGAUAGGUCGAAUGUGUAGAACAACAUCCUUAGAACCCAUGCGGAUAUAGUUUUCAUAUAAUUCAUCCCCUUGACCAAAAUACUCAUAGGAUACCUCAGAGUUCAACUGUCAACUCU